CCUACGGGUGGCAGCAGUAGGGAAUAUUGCUCAAUGGGGGAAACCCUGAAGCAGCAACGCCGCGUGGAGGAUGAAGGUUUUCGGAUUGUAAACUCCUUUUGUUAGAGAAGAUAAUGACGGUAUCUAACGAAUAAGCACCGGCUAACUCCGUGCCAGCAGCCGCGGUAAUACGGAGGGUGCAAGCGUUACUCGGAAUCACUGGGCGUAAAGAGCGCGUAGGCGGGAUAAAAAGUCAGAUGUGAAAUCCUAUGGCUUAACCAUAGAACUGCAUUUGAAACUGUUAGUCUAGAGUAUGGGAGAGGUAGGUGGAAUUCUUGGUGUAGGGGUAAAAUCCGUAGAGAUCAAGAGGAAUACUCAUUGCGAAGGCGACCUGCUGGAACAUAACUGACGCUGAUGCGCGAAAGCGUGGGGAGCAAACAGGAUUAGAUACCCCAGUAGUC
rnacentral:rRNA from 1 species